rnacentral:rRNA from 1 species
UACGUAGGGUGCAAGCGUUAUCCGGAAUUACUGGGCGUAAAGCGUGCGCAGGCGGUUGUGCAAGACCGAUGUGAAAUCCCCGGGCUUAACCUGGGAAUGGCAUUGGUGACUGCACGGCUAGAGUGUGUCAGAGGGGGGUAGAAUUCCACGUGUAGCAGUGAAAUGCGUAGAGAUGUGGAGGAAUACCGAUGGCGAAGGCAGCCCCCUGGGAUAACACUGACGCUCAUGCACGAAAGCGUGGGGAGCAAACAGG